rnacentral:lncRNA from 1 species
UGUAAAACAAAGGCAACUUUGCCAAGGGGAGAGCUGUCUGCAGCUAUGCGAUGGGAAGUCUCUGGUACUGCAAGCACACACCUCUACUAUGGCCAAUCAUCUAGUGGGACACAGUUACAUAUUUAGUAAUGCUGGGGCAUUAAAUGCGUGUAAGGCAACAGAUGGGUCUAAGAACAGCCUUCUGUGUACUUGUGUUGGUGCUAUGUUUGCCCAUGAAGACGAAAGGCUUUUGACCCCUCUCGCUCUUUGAGAAAUUGGUCUCAUUAGGAAAAACUAACCCUUGUCAGUAUGGCUACAGGGAUAAGGAAGUGAAGCUCAGGAACAGAACAAACAAAAGAGAUUUGAGUUUUGCAGCCUGAAGUUAAAUUAUAGUAAAGAGGGGUCAGAGACUCAGUCCAUAUUCUCUAAACAGCAUACACUUUUUAGGAUGGAGGAGAACAGGAUGAAGAUUUGGGCUAUUUAGCACCAAGGAGUCCUGGCAUGGGGACAACUUCCUCUCCAGCCAAAUGCUCAAACCACCGACCUAUUGUGCAAGAAGCAGAAUGUGCUGAAGAGUUUGUAGAGGUUUUUUUCUUUUAAAUGACUGCCCCUGCAGUGACUAUUGUAUUUGUGCAUUGGAGUACUUGGCGUAUGUCCUGCUGUCAGGAUGUGCCUGCUCUGCAAAGCCUGCAGCAUGAGCUGCUGGGGCUGCUCCGUAUUAGGUAGGAUCUGAGCACCUUCCCCUGCUGCUGCCCGCCUGCAGCUCAAGCAAGACUAAGAAACCAAAAAGACAGAAGGCAGAAAAAAGCAGAUAAUUUAGAACAAAGUAAAAUCUCCAAACACGUGUGCAUGCAUACAAUACUUCUGCAGGAACCUAAGUAUAAUGCAGAUUAAGUGUAAGAGAAAUACAUGAGCUUUUGUUAAAAACAGCUUCUGUCACAAAAUAGCAGAUUCACUUAGAAUUGAUUAGGGUAAUUAGAAGCCUACAUAUUGUACCCGACAACUUUAACUGUUGAAUUGGCUGAAAAUAAAAUAACUGGAAAUCCUAGAUAUGGCA